rnacentral:tRNA from 1 species
UCUCCUGUAGCUCAGUCGGAUAGAGCGCUUAAUAACGAGACUUGUAAAAGCCUUAAACAGCAAGUUUCAAAUGGUCUGUUAAACCAGAGGUCACAGGUUCGAGUCCUGUCAGGAGACU